UCACUUCACAUUAAGCGAUUAUCGCCUAUAUGGGGGUUGCUCGCUUCGGCGGGCUAUGGCGAUAAAUUGCGCCGUGUAAUAGGUACAGCGGACCCGGGGGCAGUACCCGGCGGCUCCACCAGAAUCGGCGGUUUUCCGCCAGUCCUGACGGGGCCGAACCAGGAUCGACGUGUGCUGAAAGACGGCGUUUUUGCUCGGGCUGAGUAACCCGUAAAACUGUUCACAACACACAAGUGCCAACGAUAACGAAGCACUCGCAAUCGCUGCGUAAUUUUAAGACCUAACGGUCUGAAUUUACAAAGCUAAAGCGCGGUUGGACCCACCGGGCAACAGAAGCGGAUUCCG
rnacentral:tmRNA from 1 species